rnacentral:rRNA from 1 species
GACGAACGCUGGCGGCGCGCCUAAUACAUGCAAGUAGAACGCACAGUUUAUACCGUAGCUUGCUACACCAUAGACUGUGAGUUGCGAACGGGUGAGUAACGCGUAGGUAACCUGCCUGGUAGCGGGGGAUAACUAUUGGAAACGAUAGCUAAUACCGCAUAAUAUUAAUUAUUGCAUGAUAAUUGAUUGAAAGAUGCAACUGCAUCACUACCAGAUGGACCUGCGUUGUAUUAGCUAGUAGGCGAGGUAACGGCUCACCUAGGCGACGAUACAUAGCCGACCUGAGAGGGUGAUCGGCCACACUGGGACUGAGACACGGCCCAGACUCCUACGGGAGGCAGCAGUAGGGAAUCUUCGGUAAUGGACGAAAGUCUGACCGAGCAACGCCGCGUGAGUGAAGAAGGUUUUCGGAUCGUAAAGCUCUGUUGUAAGAGAAGAACGGGUGUGAGAGUGGAAAGUUCACACUGUGACGGUAUCUUACCAGAAAGGGACGGCUAACUACGUG